rnacentral:rRNA from 1 species
CAGCCGCCGCGGUAAUACCGGCGGCCCGAGUGGCGGUCACUAUUAUUGGGCUUAAAGCGUCCGUAGCCGGGUUGGGAAGUCCUCCGGGAAAUCUGGCCGCUUAACGGUCCGAAUGCCGGAGGAUACUCCCAGCCUAGGGAGCGGGAGAGGCCGAGGGUAUUCCCGGAGUAGGGGUGAAAUCCUAUAAUCCCGGGAGGACCACCUGUGGCGAAGGCGCUCGGCUGGAACGCGUCCGACGGUGAGGGACGAAGGCCAGGGGAGCAAACCGGAUUAGAUACCCGGGUAGUCCUGGCUGUAAACGAUGCGGACUUUGUGUCGGACAAGCUAUGAGCUUGUCCGGUGCCGGAGGGAAACCGUUAAGUCCGCCGCCUGGGGAGUACGGCCGCAAGGCUGAAACUUAAAGGAAUUGGCGGG